rnacentral:rRNA from 1 species
UCCAGACUCCUACGGGAGGCAGCAGUGGGGAAUAUUGCACAAUGGGGGAAACCCUGAUGCAGCAACGCCGCGUGGGUGAAGGAGCGUUUCGGCGCGUAAAGCCCUGUCAGCGGGGAAGAAGAAAGACGGUACCCGACCAAGAAGCCCCGGCUAACUACGUGCCAGCAGCCACGGUAAUACGGAGGGUGCGAGCGUUAAUCGGAAUUACUGGGCGUAAAGCGCUCGUAGGCGGUAUGUCAAGUCAAGGGUGAAAUCCCCGCGCUCAACGUGGGAACUGCCUUUGAAACUGGCAAACUGGAGUGUGUGAGAGGAUAGUGGAAUUCCAGGUGUAGGAGUGAAAUCCGUAGAUAUCUGGAGGAACAUCAGUGGCGAAGGCGACUAUCUGGCACAUAACUGACGCUGAGGAGCGAAAGCGUGGGUAGCAAACAGGAUUAGAUACCCCUGUAA